rnacentral:rRNA from 1 species
UACAGAGGGGGCAAGCGUUGUUCGGAAUUACUGGGCGUAAAGGGCGCGUAGGCGGCCUUCUAAGUCGAACGUGAAAUCCCCGGGCUUAACCUGGGAACUGCAUUUGUGACUGCAUAGCUAGAGUACGGUAGAGGGGGAUGGAAUUCCGCGUGUAGCAGUGAAAUGCGUAGAUAUGCGGAGGAACACCGAUGGCGAAGGCAAUCCCCUGGACCUGUACUGACGCUCAUGCACGAAAGCGUGGGGAGCAAACAGG